rnacentral:rRNA from 1 species
AAGUCGUAACAAGGUUUCCGUAGGUGAACCUGCGGAAGGAUCAUUAUUGAAUACGAUUGGUACUGAUGCUGGCUCUUAACUGAGCAUGUGCUCGUCCAUCUAUUUAUCUUCUCUUGUGCACAUUUUGUAGUCUUGAACGUACCUCUCGCAGUCAAAUGCGGUUUGGGAGCUUGGGCGCAAGCCCUUCUCCUGCUUCUUCAAGGCUAUGUUUUCAUAUACACUAUAAAGUUACAGAAUGUCUUUUAACGAUUGCGCUUGUCGUAGUCAUUAAACCUAUACAACUUUCAGCAACGGAUCUCUUGGCUCUCCUAUCGAUGAAGAACGCAGCGAAAUGCGAUAAGUAAUGUGAAUUGCAGAAUUCAGUGAAUCAUCGAAUCUUUGAACGCACCUUGCGCCCUUUGGUAUUCCGAAGGGCAUGCCUGUUUGAGUGUCAUUGAAUUAUCAACCUUGCUCGCUUUUACCGGCUUGAGUUAGGCUUGGACUUGAGGGCUUGCUGGCUUCCUUCAGUGGAUGGUCUGCUCCCUUUAAAUGCAUUAGUGGGAUCUCUUGUGGACCGUCACUUNGNGUGAUAAUUAUCUAUGCCACUUGACCUUGAAGNAANACNNUGGGAACCCGCUCAUAACCGUCUUCGGACAACUUUUGACAUNNNNNCCUAGUACUGCGAGUGAGCGGGAAAAGCUCAAAUUUAAAAUCUGGCGGUUCUUGUAGNCGUCCGAGUUGUAAUUUAGAGAAGUGUUAUCCGCGCUGGNCCGUGUACAAGUCUCCUGGAAUGGAGCGUCAUAGAGGGUGAGAAUCCCGUCUUUGACACGGACUGCCAGGGCAUUGUGAUGCGCUCUCAAAGAGUCGAGUUGUUUGGGAAUGCAGCUCAAAAUGGGUGGUAAAUUCCAUCUAAAGCUAAAUAUUGAGGAGAGACCGAUAGCGAACAAGUACCGUGAGGGAAAGAUGAAAAGAACUUUGGAAAGAGAGUUAAACAGUACGUGAAAUUGCUGAAAGGGAAACGCUUGAAGUCAGUCGCGUCGUUCAGGACUCAGCCUUGCUUUGCUUGGUGUACUUCCUGUUCGACGGGUCAGCAUCAAUCUUGGUCGGUGGAUAAAGGCUUAGAGAAUGUGGCAUCUUCGGGUGUGUUAUAGCUCUGGGUCGCAUACAUCGGCUGGGAUUGAGGAACUCAGCACGCCGCAAGGCCGGGGACUUGUCCCACGUACGUGCUUAGGAUGCUGGCAUAAUGGCUUUAAUCGACCCGUCUUGAAACACGGACC